GGAGGGUGCAAGCGUUGUUCGGAAUUAUUGGGCGUAAAGCGCGUGUAGGUGGUUGGGCAAGUCAGAUGUGAAAGCCUUCUGCUUAACAGAAGAAGUGCAUUUGAAACUGCUCGGCUAGAGUACGGGAGAGGAGAGUGGAAUUCCCGGUGUAGAGGUGAAAUUCGUAGAUAUCGGGAGGAACACCAGUGGCGAAGGCGGCUCUCUAGACCACUCCUGACGCUCAAGCGCGAAAGCGUGGGUAGCGAACGGAAUUAGAUACUCCGGUAGUCCACGCUGUAAACGAUGAGCACUAGGUGUAGUGGGUAUCGACCCCCACUGUGCCGCAGCUAACGCAAUAAGUGCUCCGCCUGGGGACUACGGCCGCAAGGUUA
rnacentral:rRNA from 1 species